GACAGAGGUGCCGAGCGUUAGGCGGAAUCACUGGGCUUAAAGCGUGUGUAGGCGGGCCGUUAAGUGCCCCGUGAAAUCCCCCGGCUCAACCGGGGAACGGCGGGGCAUACUGGCGGCCUUGAGACACCUAGGGGCGAGCGGAACAGGCGGUGGAGCGGUGAAAUGCGUUGAGAUCGUGAGGAACGCCCGCGGCGAAAGCGCGUCCCUGGACCGCACCUGACGCUGAGACGCGAAAGCCAGGGGAGCGAACGGG
rnacentral:rRNA from 1 species